rnacentral:rRNA from 1 species
GGCCGCGGGAAUUCGAUUACGGCUCAGUAACACGUGGAUAACCUGCCCUUGGGACCGGCAUAACCCCGGGAAACUGGGGAUAAUAUCGGAUACUCCGUAUCUGCUGGAAUGCUUUACGUUUUAAACGGUUUUUUUCCGCCCAAGGAUGGGUCUGCGGCCUAUCAGGUUGUAGUGGGUGUAACGUACCUACUAGCCUACGACGGGUACGGGUUGUGAGAGCAAGAGCCCGGAGAUGGAUUCUGAGACACGAAUCCAGGCCCUACGGGGUGCAGCAGGCGCGAAAACUUUACAAUGCGGGAAACCGUGAUAAGGGGAUCUCGAGUGCCAGCAUAUAAUGUUGGCUGUCCAGAUGCCUAAAAAGCAUCUGUUAGCAAGGGCCGGGCAAGACCGGUGCCAGCCGCCGCGGUAACACCGGCGGCCCGAGUGGUAACCGCUAUUAUUGGGUCUAAAGGGUCUGUAGCCGGCCAGGUAAGUCCCUUGGGAAAUCUGGCAGCUCAACUGUCAGGCUGCUAGGGGAUACUGUUUGGCUUGGGACCGGGAGAGGUGAAAGGUACCUUGGGGGUAGGGGUGAAAUCUUGUGAUCCUCGAGGGACCACCAGUGGCGAAGGCGUCUCACCAGAACGGGUCCGACGGUAAGGGACGAAAGCUAGGGGCACGAACCGGAUUAGAUACCCGGGUAGUCCUAGCCGUAAACGAUGCUCGCUAGGUGUCAGUCACGGUGCGACCGUGAUUGGUGCCGUAGGGAANCCGUGAAGCGAGCCACCUGGGAAGUAUGGCCGCAAGGCUGAAACUUAA